ACUCCUACGGGAGGCAGCAGUGGGGAAUAUUGCACAAUGGGGGAAACCCUGAUUGCAGCCAUGCCGCGUGUGUGAAGAAGGCCUUCGGGUUGUAAAGCACUUUCAGUAGGGAGGAAGGUAGUGUAGUUAACACCUGCAUUAUUUGACGUUACCUACAGAAGAAGCACCGGCUAACUCCGUGCCAGCAGCCGCGGUGAUACGUAGGGUGCGAGCGUUGUCCGGAUUUAUUGGGCGUAAAGGGGCUCGUAGGUGGUUGAUCGCGUCGGAAGUGUAAUCUUGGGGCUUAACCCUGAGCGUGCUUUCGAUACGGGUUGACUUGAGGAAGGUAGGGGAGAAUGGAAUUCCUGGUGGAGCGGUGGAAUGCGCAGAUAUCAGGAGGAACACCAGUGGCGAAGGCGGUUCUCUGGGCCUUUCCUGACGCUGAGGAGCGAAAGCGUGGGGAGCGAACAGGCUUAGAUACCCUGGUAG
rnacentral:rRNA from 1 species